rnacentral:rRNA from 1 species
CCUGCGGAGGGAUCAUUACAAGUGACCCCGGUCUAACCACCGGGAUGUUCAUAACCCUCUGUUGUCCGACUCUGUUGCCUCCGGGGCGACCCUGCCUUCGGGCGGGGGCUCCGGGUGGACACUUCAAACUCUUGCGUAACUUUGCAGUCUGAGUAAACUUAAUUAAUAAAUUAAAACUUUUAACAACGGAUCUCUUGGUUCUGGCAUCGAUGAAGAACGCAGCGAAAUGCGAUAAGUAAUGUGAAUUGCAGAAUUCAGUGAAUCAUCGAAUCUUUGAACGCACAUUGCGCCCCCUGGUAUUCCGGGGGGCAUGCCUGUUCGAGCGUCAUUUCACCACUCAAGCCUCGCUUGGUAUUGGGCAACGCGGUCCGCCGCGUGCCUCAAAUCGACCGGCUGGGUCUUCUGUCCCCUAAGCGUUGUGGAAACUAUUCGCUAAAGGGUGUUCGGGAGGCUACGCCGUAAAACAACCCCAUUUCUAAGGUGACCUC